rnacentral:lncRNA from 1 species
UCGGAGGCGCCCGUGACGACGGCCCAGGCGGGCACCACGACGGCGACGACGAUCGGAUCAUCGACGAUGACGACGAAGAAGAAGAAGGAGGAGGAGAAAAGAAGGAGGAAAAGAAGGAUAUGGAGAAGAAGAGGAAGAAGAAGAAGCAGGAGAGAAAGAGGAAGAGGAAGAAGAAAAAGGAUAAAAUUAUCACUUCACAUUAUUAAUUAACUUUGUAAGUAUUUUAACUGUGGUUAACAAAAUUUUUCUAACGAAUCCUAACGGCAGGAAAAAAUCUGAAUACAUUAGGACUUUUAUAAAAAUAACUUAUAAAAAUUAUACUUUGCAGAAAUAUAUUUAUAAUUUAUUAUGUUUGUAGGGAUGUGCAUGUAAUUAACCGUUUCUUGGAUGCUUGUUGGGAGAGGGGAGGAAAUGAAAUGAAAGUUUCAUAUAGAAAGACUCAC